UGUCCUCCACUGCCCGCUCCCACCAUGAUGUGCUACGCUGCGACGGGGCUGGGAAACCAUGGGCCUCCUUCCAAGUUGAUCGCCUCAGGUGUUUCAUCACAGUGCGGAAGUUGAACCACGAAUCCCACCUUCCACAGAAGCCAGAGUUCAAGAACACCGGUGCGGCCGCAACCCUGGGGAUCGUCCACAGGCACAUGCCUGGAGCCAGGUGCCUGCAGCAGAGGGCGGGCAGCUCCGGUGCCCUUCUCGACCCUGAUUUGUUGUUGCUUCCCCUUCAUCAACAACGUGGGGUUUCCAGAAUCUGAAAAGACUAGAGAGAAGUGACCCAGGGCUGAUGCAAACCAGCCAUAUUUCCUGGAAAAGAAUGCAUCCGCAGGACUCAAGCUCGCCCCGGUUUGCAAAGCUGAGGCAACGCACACUCCAGAUGCCGGCAGCAGCUGGAGAGGCUGCGGCUCUUCUUCACACUUAGGAAAACACACUCUAGUUCACAGCUGAUGGAUUCCUGGGCGUUCAUGAGUCACUCGUCAGGAACAAAGAAGCCUCAGUCUGCCACAUCCACGGGCCGCGAUUUCAACAGCGUGGGUGCCCAGGGUUUUUCUGAAAUCUGAAAAUGUGCCUCGGAGGUGCCCUGAAGCACCUGGCAGCAGCUGCUCUCCUGAUCCACAGCUCGGUGCUCUUCGUCGGAGCUUGUCGGCAUCGUUUGCGUGCAGAUGUCACCGGGUGCGUGACAGGGGGUCCAGGAAGCAGUUUCAGGCACUCUGCUUGUUCCCUCCAGCAGGACCCAGGGUGGCUUCCCAGACUGGCUCACUGCGCAUGCAUAAGGCGCCUGAUGUCAGGCUGCCGGCCUC